CACGUAGGGUGCGAGCGUUGUCCGGAAUUAUUGGGCGUAAAGAGCUCGUAGGCGGUGUGUCGCGUCGGCCGUGAAAACCUGCAGCUUAACUGUGGGCUUGCGGUCGAUACGGGCAUCACUGGAGUUCGGCAGGGGAGACUGGAAUUCCUGGUGUAGCGGUGAAAUGCGUAGAUAUCUGGAGGAACACCGGUGGCGAAGGCGGCAUCCUGGACCGGUAUUGACGCUGAGGCGCGAAAGCCAGGGGAGCAAACGGG
rnacentral:rRNA from 1 species